UUGUGUGUGUGUGUGUGUGUGUGUGUGUGGCAUGCAUCGCGAUGAGUUUUAUGGUAGUCAACAUGCAAUUGUGCGAUGCUCUUCAGUGUUUCCCAACUAACGGAGAAAACGAACCAAGAACGAGAACGAGAACGAAAACGAGAACGAGAAACAGGCGGAUUCUGAGAAGUAGUUGCCAGCGGAGAGGGAACCAUGGAUGGAACCUCCCAUCGCAGUAUCGAGGAGCAACGGGAUGGGAUGGCGUAAAGCGGAGCAGAGCCAAUGGUAUAGGCUCUCGCUCUGUGUUUGACAAAAGUUUUGCCUGCCAAGUUCUAAUGAGCGAAUUCUUUCGGGCAACAAAAGUCUAGCGAAUCCGGAACGAGGUACACAGUCGGUGGCGCGUCGCGUCCUUGCUGAGCCAAGUUGGAGGCGCAUUCCAUGGCCGGUCGUCGGCAGCUUCGCCUCUCUCUCUCUCUCUCUGCCUCUCGCUCUCUGGCACCAACUUUUAUCUACGCUUUCUCUUCGCUGCUCUACGCUGAGAAUGCGGCAAGUGCCUAGGCCCUCGGGUAGCGUUUCGCUUGAGAAGUUUUUGUUCCUACAGAAAUUCCGUUUCGACUUGGGGAAUAAUUGUUUGAAAAUAUGCAUAAAAAGAUCUUCCAUUGAGGGAUCCAACUAGUUGUCCAUGGGCCUUGAU
rnacentral:lncRNA from 1 species